GUUUUAAAGACCUUCUUAUGAAGGUAUGCUUAAAGAGGGGCUUGCGCCACAUUAGUUAGUUGGUAGGGUAAAAGCCUACCAAGACGAUGAUGUGUAGCUGGACUGAGAGGUUGAACAGCCACAUUGGGACUGAGACACGGCCCAAACUCCUACGGGAGGCAGCAGUAGGGAAUUUUCGGCAAUGGAGGAAACUCUGACCGAGCAACGCCGCGUGAACGAUGAAGUAUUUCGGUAUGUAAAGUUCUUUUAUUGAAGAAGAAAAAGUAGUGGAAAAACUAUAUUGACGUUAUUCAAUGAAUAAGCCCCGGCUAACUAUGUGCCAGCAGCCGCGGUAAGACAUAGGGGGCGAGCGUUAUCCGGAAUUAUUGGGCGUAAAGGGUGCGUAGGCUGUUAGAUAAGUCUAUAAUUUAAUUUCAGUGCUUAACGCUGUCUUGUUAUAGAAACUGUCUUGACUAGAGUGAGAUAGAGGCAAGCGGAAUUCCAUGUGUAGCGGUAAAAUGUGUAAAUAUAUGGAGGAACACCAGAAGCGUAGGCGGCUUGCUGGGUCUUUACUGACGCUGAGGCACGAAAGCGUGGGUAGCAAACAGGAUUAGAUACCCUGGUAGUCCACGCCGUAAACGAUGAGUACUAAGUGUCGGGGUAAAACUCGGUACUGAAGUUAACACAUUAAGUACUCCGCCUGAGUAGUACGUACGCAAGUAUGAAACUUAAAGGAAUUGACGGGACUCCGCACAAGCGGUGGAUCAUGUUGUUUAAUUCGAAGAUACACGAAAAAUCUUACCAGGUCUUGACAUACUCUGCAAAGCUAUAGAAAUAUAGUGGAGGUUAUCAGGGAUACAGGUGGUGCAUGGUUGUCGUCAGUUCGUGUCGUGAGAUGUUAGGUUAAGUCCUAAAACGAGCGCAACCCUUGUCGUUAAUUGCCAGCACGUAAUGGUGGGGACUUUAGCGAGACUGCCAAUUAAACAUUGGAGGAAGGUGAGGAUUACGUCAAAUCAUCAUGCCCCUUAUGAUCUGGGCUACAAACGUGAUACAAUGGCUGUGACAAAGAGUAGCUGAAACGCGAGUUUUUAGCCAAUCUCAAAAAAGCAGUCUCAGUUCGGAUUGAAGUCUGUAACUCGACUUCAUGAAGUUGGAAUCGCUAGUAAUCGCGAAUCAGC
rnacentral:rRNA from 1 species